UACGGGGGGGGCAAGCGUUGUUCGGAAUUACUGGGCGUAAAGGGCUCGUAGGCGGCCAACUAAGUCGGAUGUGAAAUCCCCAGGCUUAACCUGGGAACUGCAUCCGAUACUGGAUGGCUUGAAUCCGGGAGAGGGAUGCAGAAUUCCAGGUGUAGCGGUGAAAUGCGUAGAUAUCUGGAGGAACACCGGUGGCGAAGGCGGAUCUCUGGGCCAUUACUGACGCUGAGGAGCGAAAGCGUGGGGAGCGAACAGG
rnacentral:rRNA from 1 species